AGAGUUUGAUCCUGGCUCAGAACGAACGCUGGCGGCAGGCCUAACACAUGCAAGUCGAACGCACCGCAAGGUGAGUGGCGCACGGGUGAGUAACACGUGGGAAUGUACCCUUUGGUUCGGAAUAACGUUUGGAAACGAACGCUAAUACCGGAUGAGCCCUACGGGGGGAAGAUUUAUCGCCAAAGGAGCAGCCCGCGUCUGAUUAGCUAGUUGGUGGGGUAAAGGCCUACCAAGGCGACGAUCAGUAGCUGGUCUGAGAGGAUGAUCAGCCACACUGGGACUGAGACACGGCCCAGACUCCUACGGGAGGCAGCAGUGGGGAAUAUUGGACAAUGGGCGGAAGCCUGAUCCAGCCAUGCCGCGUGAGUGAUGAAGGCCUUCGGGUUGUAAAGCUCUUUCGCACACGACGAUGAUGACGGUAGUGUGAGAAGAAGCCCCGGCUAACUUCGUGCCAGCAGCCGCGGUAAUACGAAGGGGACUAGCGUUGUUCGGAAUUACUAGGCGUAAAGGGCGCGUAGGCGGCUUAUCAAGUCAGGCGUGAAAGCCCCGGGCUUAACCUGGGAACUGCGCUUGAGACUGGUAGGCUAGAGUACCGGAGAGGUAGGUGGAAUUCCCAGUGUAGAGGUGAAAUUCGUAGAUAUUGGGAAGAACACCAGUGGCGAAGGCGGCCUACUGGACGGUAACUGACGCUGAGGCGCGAAAGCGUGGGGAGCAAACAGGAUUAGAUACCCCUGGUAGUCCACGCUGUAAACGAUGUCGGCUAGACGUUGGGGCCCUUAGGGUUUCAGUGUCGCAGCUAACGCAUUAAGCCGACCGCCUGGGGAGUACGGCCGCAAGGUUGAAACUCAAAGGAAUUGACGGGGGCCCGCACAAGCGGUGGAGCAUGUGGUUUAAUUCGAAGCAACGCGCAGAACCUUACCAACCCUUGACAUGCCUUGACCGAUGCAGAGAUGCAUCUUUCCUUUCGGGGACAGGGACACAGGUGCUGCAUGGCCGUCGUCAGCUCGUGUCGUGAGAUGUUGGGUUAAGUCCCGCAACGAGCGCAACCCCCACUGUUAGUUGCCAUCAUUAAGUUGGGCACUCUAGCAGAACUGCCGGUGACAAGCCGGAGGAAGGCGGGGAUGACGUCAAGUCCUCAUGGCCCUUACGGGUUGGGCUACACACGUGCUACAAUGGUGGUGACAGUGGGCAGCGACCACGCGAGUGGAAGCGAAUCUCCAAAAGCCAUCUCAGUUCGGAUUGCACUCUGCAACUCGGGUGCAUGAAGUUGGAAUCGCUAGUAAUCGCGGAUCAGCACGCCGCGGUGAAUACGUUCCCGGGCCUUGUACACACCGCCCGUCACACCAUGGGAGUUGGCUUUACCUGAAGCCGGUGCGCUAACCGCAAGGAGGCAGCCGACCACGGUACGGUCAGCGACUGGGGUGAAGUCGUAACAAGGUA
rnacentral:rRNA from 1 species